rnacentral:scRNA from 1 species
GCACGGAGGUUACGGAAAUGAUCAGACUGUUU